rnacentral:rRNA from 1 species
GUGGGGAAUAUUGGACAAUGGGCGAAAGCCUGAUCCAGCCAUGCCGCGUGUGUGAAGAAGGUCUUCGGAUUGUAAAGCACUUUAAGUUGGGAGGAAGGGCAUUAACCUAAUACGUUAGUGUUUUGACGUUACCGACAGAAUAAGCACCGGCUAACUUCGUGCCAGCAGCCGCGGUAAUACGAAGGGUGCAAGCGUUAAUCGGAAUUACUGGGCGUAAAGCGCGCGUAGGUGGUUCGUUAAGUUGGAUGUGAAAGCCCCGGGCUCAACCUGGGAACUGCAUCCAAAACUGGCGAGCUAGAGUACGGUAGAGGGUGGUGGAAUUUCCUGUGUAGCGGUGAAAUGCGUAGAUAUAGGAAGGAACACCAGUGGCGAAGGCGACCACCUGGACUGAUACUGACACUGAGGUGCGAAAGCGUGGGGAGCAAACAGGAUUAGAUACCCCUGUAGUC